rnacentral:rRNA from 1 species
UGAGGAACAUGACUUUCGGUGGGGGAGUAGCCGGCCCAACGGCCGGGUAAUACCGCGUACGACCUUUUGGGGACAUCCCCGAUUGGUGAAAGCAGCAAUGCGCCGAAAGAGUGCCUCGCGGCCUAUCAGCUAGUUGGUGGGGUAAUGGCUCACCAAGGCGACGACGGGUAGCUGGUCUGAGAGGAUGGCCAGCCACAUUGGGACUGAGACACGGCCCAGACUCCUACGGGAGGCAG